UGGCGAACGGGUGAGUAACACGUGGGUAACCUGCCCAUCAGAAGGGGAUAACACUUGGAAACAGGUGCUAAUACCGUAUAACACUAUUUUCCGCAUGGAAGAAAGUUGAAAGGCGCUUUUGCGUCACUGAUGGAUGGACCCGCGGUGCAUUAGCUAGUUGGUGAGGUAACGGCUCACCAAGGCAACGAUGCAUAGCCGACCUGAGAGGGUGAUCGGCCACACUGGGACUGAGACACGGCCCAGACUCCUACGGGAGGCAGCAGUAGGGAAUCUUCGGCAAUGGACGAAGGUCUGACCGAGCAACGCCGCGUGAGUGAAGAAGGUUUUCGGAUCGUAAAACUCUGUUGUUAGAGAAGAACAAGGAUGAGAGUAGAACGUUCAUCCCUUGACGUAUCUAACCAG
rnacentral:rRNA from 1 species